rnacentral:tRNA from 1 species
ACACUAUUAGUAUAUUUAUUAUAUCACUUUUCCACAGUGAUGAUCUACGUGAGUAGAUAGUGUA